rnacentral:tRNA from 1 species
GAGGAUAUAGCUCAGUGGUAGAGUGUGUGCUUUGCAUGCAUGAGGUCCUGGGUCAAUCCUCAGUACCUCCA